CCCUUAGAUGUUCUGGGCCGCACGCGCGCUACACUGACGAAUGCAACGAGCUUAUAACCUUGGCCGAAAGGUCUGGGUAAUCUCCAAAUUUCGUCGUGAUGGGGAUAGAUUAUUGCAAUUAUUAAUCUUCAACGAGGAAUGCCUAGUAAGCGUGAUUCAUCAAAUCGCGUUGAUUACGUCCCUGCCCUUUGUACACACCGCCCGUCGCCCCUACCGAUUGAGUGUGUUGGUGAGGAGUUCGGAUUGGCAGCAGGUGGUGGUUCGCCACCGCCUAUUGCUGAGAAGUUCUCCAAACCGCCCCACUUAGAGGAAGGAGAAGUCGUANCA
rnacentral:rRNA from 1 species